GACAAAUGGAAAUACCUAAAGGCGGGGGCUUCAGACUGAGAUGAUAAACAUACUGUUUGACAAUAAAAGACUUGCAAUAAUAGGUCAUUGUGUUUAUUUCUGCAAAAAUAAUAUUCGUUGCCUGAUUUUUUAAACUUCCUCUAAUGGAGAGAGAGACAGAAGACUAGAACGUUGGUCUCUGGGGAGUGACCACGGUUACCAUAAACAGUGGUGCAGGGAGUGCCCUGCAAAAUGUGCCUGCUAAGAGGACAACUGGGGAGAGAAAUACAGUAACCUCCAUUAGAAUAUGAGUUCCAUGUAAGUUGUAGAAGAUCCAGGAGAGGAAGAUUUAGGACUCUGAAGCUGUUGCUGCCUCCCUGAAACAUGGCGUGAACAUUUGUCUUCCAAUCAUCAGAUUUACUGUGAUUGAAAAGUCUGAACACCUUGGAGAAUACCACUUGUGGAGGAGAGAAGCUGGCCCUUUACCUUGGCUAUUAGCACUUAUUCCUAUACCAUCAUCGAGAGAAAGAUAAGUCAGUUACUAAUUCUGUCUACUCCCUUCACCCCCAAUAAUUGACAAGAGAUCUCUUUGGAAACUCAACAUGAUACAGCUAGAUUCAGGUGAAAGACAGAGAAUCUAUGACAAAUAACAAAGGAUGCCAUAGAUGACAAGGUAAACCUC